AAUUAAUGAACUUGUAAAAGUAUAUAUUUUGAAAAUAUAAAAAAGAGGGAAUUCCUCUAUUAAUUU
rnacentral:tRNA from 1 species